rnacentral:lncRNA from 1 species
AAAUGUUGGUUUAGGUUCUGCCACUGAAAAGUGUCACAAGUCAUAUGUUCACCUUUUCUCUGCCACACUAAUAUCCAAACAGAACCAGUGUGCAAGACUACAUUAGAGAAGAUGAAGGAAGCUACAAAAGUAACUUAAGUCCCUUCUUUUUUCUUAUCUUUUUAUUCUUAAUCGGAUUUUUUAAUGUAUAUUUUAGGUGUGGGGGUAUUUUCCUUGCCUGUAUGUAGAUAUACAAUGUGUGUCUGAUUCCCACAAAGACCAGAAUAGGUUGCGGGCUCCCUGGAACUAGAGUCUCAGACAGUUACUAUCUGCCAUUUAGGUGCUGUAAACUGAGCCCGAUCCUCUGCUAGAGCAGCAGAUGCACCUAAACUGUGCAAUGACUCCAACUCCCUUUACAUUGUUUGCGUUUAUUUCUGUGCUUACGUGUACAUGGCAUGCAUGUGCUUAUGCUUACAGAGACCAGAAGAGAACCUCAAUUCCUAUGGAACUCAACAGGUGAUUGUGAGUCACGCAACAUAUGUGCUGAGAAUUGUACCUAGGUCUUCCACAGAGCCCAAAAUUUACUUAACAGCUGAUCUCUCUGUGUCUCUGUCGGUCUGUCUGUCAGUCUGUCUGUCUGUCUCUGUCUCUGUCUCUGUCUCUGUCUCUGUCUCUGUCUCUGUCUCUGUCUCUCUCUCUCUCUCUCUCUCUCUCUGUCUCUCUCUCUCUCUCUCUCUCUGUGUGUGUGUGUGUGUGUGUCUUUCUCUCUAUGUCUCUCACUCUCCUAUUAUCUUUAUUAUUAUAAUAUGCGGAGAACCCUGUGAAUAUCAACAAGCAAGCAAGCCUCAAAAAUCUUAAUGAACCAUGUCCACAAUACAAGAAACCCCCUUCAAACCCCUGUUUCUAAACUGUCAGUUAUAUCCCUGAAGUAAUUGGUCGCAUUAAUGAAAAUAUAGUUCUAGUCCUGGGACUACCUGCUUCAGUUUUCAGCACCACAAAAAAGUUACAUGAUAACAAUAACAAUUUUAAGUUGUUAUAAAUCACGUUUUUAGUUAUAUACUACUAUUCUAAAAAGGUAUGUGCUAAAAUUAAAUUAUUUCUUUUUAUAAAUAACAGGGAAAAUCAGUCUUAUAUUCUACUUUGUUAUCUUUUCCCUGCUCAUAGGAAUUAUUAUGAGCAGUAUUAGAAAGCAACAGCAAGAUGAGG